CAGUCGCCGCGGUAAUACGAAGGGGGCUAGCGUUGUUCGGAUUUACUGGGCGUAAAGCGCACGUAGGCGGAUCCUUAAGUCAGAGGUGAAAUCCCAAGGCUCAACCUUGGAACUGCCUUUGAUACUGGGGAUCUCGAGUUCGGGAGAGGUGAGUGGAACUGCGAGUGUAGAGGUGAAAUUCGUAGAUAUUCGCAAGAACACCAGUGGCGAAGGCGGCUCACUGGCCCGAUACUGACGCUGAGGUGCGAAAGCGUGGGGAGCAAACAGGAUUAGAUACCCGGGUAGUCCCUGUCUCUUAUAC
rnacentral:rRNA from 1 species